rnacentral:lncRNA from 1 species
GGACGUGUAGCUUCUAGCUGCAAAGAGCUGUGCAGAGCUCUGGUUGUGAGCUGUUUAGGUUGUGCCUCUCUACUCCUGUUAAAGAGCUGAAGAGAAAGCCCAUUUGGUAAAGCACUUGCUGUGCAAUCAUAAGACCCAGUUCGGUUUCCCUAGAACCCACAUGAGAAAGCCAGGCCCAGAGGCACGUGCUUGUAGUCCUGGUGCUGGAGAAGAAGAGACAGGAGGCUGCCUGGGGCCUGCUGCCUAGAUAGUCUGUCCUAAUCACUGGGAGACCCUAUCUUAAAAGAAAGAGUCAACAUGAAAGCAGCCGUCUCUCCAUAUUGGAUUCUUGCUGUAUUUUGAUGGGCCCAGAUGUCUAUGGAAGCCACGUAGUGGGAGGACAGAGCCAUCUCCUGCACGCUGUCCUCACACCAUCAAUAGGUCUAUGUGCCUACUACACGCCUGUGGUUUGUGCACCAGUCUACACACACUGUCCUGACAUGUGCCUGGGUCACUGCUGAUGGCCGCCUGACUGGGGACCUUUGCACUGAGAAAUGCACCAAAGAACUUGUGGUGUCCCUGCAGCUUCCUCAGACUCGGGAUGAUUGUCCUUGCAGUUUCUGCUGGAUUGACCUGCAUGUUGCUGAUUCAUCUAAACUAUUGACAUCCUGACAACACAGACUGGAUUCACUCCAAACAACGCUUUCUAAACAGUGUUCUUUAAGGUGUCUACAUCGUGCCAGGAGCCCAGGGACCACUUGCCUACUUCUGGACAUCUUCAUUGUAAUGUGCCUAGCCUUCAGCUUCGAUCUGCACCUAAGUCUGAACUCUGCUUCAGGUCGAUGCUAAACAUGUAAUGAAGUCCCUUUCCCAGUAAGUGCAGCAAACAGAGAAACAGGGAUACGUGAGUUAUAUGUAUCCUAACCUUCCACACAGGCUGGGGAGGUGGAGGCAGGAUGAUCUGAACUUCAAGGUCAUGUCAGCUACUCAAUGAGUGAACAAGGCCAGCCUGUUCUGCGUGACCCUCUCGACCUUUACGCUGGAGACAGGGCAUUCCUUUUUUGUUUGGUUUCCUUUAGCCGUUAUGAAAGUGCCUGGGCAGCAGAUCCCCGUGCUGGGCCCGCAUCUCGUCCCACACGUUUCCCAGUCAUGCAUGCUCUUCUUCUUCAGCUAACAGCAGCGCUGCGCCACACUGAUCUAGACACAAAGUUCCAUCCUGCCGAGUGAAAUGUAUUUGUCACCCCUGCUAAAUUUUCCUUAAAUAAGUCCAAGUGCAAGUGACAGGAUCGUGAAACACAAGAGGCGUGUAAGUGGCGUUCGGAUCAAUCAGCCAGUCUAGCAGAGAAUAGGUGUCCUUCUGCUGGGUGGGAGCCCUCAAAGUCCUAACAGGGUCAUCGGGUCAUAUGCAAAUGAUUUCAGCACUUUUCUAUUGGGGCUGGUGAGACUGCUCAGUGGGCAGAAUUGCCACCAGGUUUAAUGACCUGAGUUCCAUCCCCAGGAGCCACAUGGUAGAGGGAGAGAGCUCACUCUUUUGGGCUGCCCUCUGAUAUCCACACAAAAGUAUACAUUUUAAAAGACUAAACCCCCCCCCCAAAAAAAAACUUUAUAUUCAAGUUAAAAUCAUCUAGAGUGUCCAGAGAAGGCUUAAGGCACUUGCAAUAUUCUUCGGGGAUGGCCCAACAUUUCAAAUGAAAAUAUAGUACAAAUUUAUUAAUUUAUCUGAGUGCAUUCAGCAGACUUCUAACUCCAGGAGACUAGUGCAGGGUACAACUUUGAAUAUUUGUCAGUUCGAAUGAGAGUUGCUAUUAGAGAGCGGAGGUUCCAAUGAGGCAGACAUGCCUCGGAAGCUAAUGAAGAACAAAUAAAAAUGUGCUAGAAGGCUCUUGGAAUAGUUUAUUUGCAUCCCCAUAUUAAUAUAUUCCAUUUUAAUAUUGAGACAAGGUCCGGAACUCACUAUGUAUACCAGGCCAGCCUCAAACUCAGAAAUCUGUCUCUUCAGUGUUGGAAUUAAAGGUGCGCACCACACCUGUCUCUUAAUGCAUUUUAACAAUUUUCCUAUAGAGGUGAGCUUCAACUCCAUAUUGAUUAAAAAAUAAAUUAAAUACUCAAAAUUA